UUUCAGAAUAUUGACUUUUCAAAUUUAUCUGUUUGUAGUCCUCUCUAAUGAAUUCUAGAUUUUUCUAUAAUGUAAUGAUUGAUCUAAGAAUUAUAUGGAGUUUUAUGGAGAGCCUCAAAAUAAACUGUACAUGAAUCAGUUUAAAAGUGAUUUUUGCAUAAAAUCUGUACUUCUAUUCGACCUUAUAAUUAUUUCGAGAAUUAUUUUCCUUCAACGGCCCCAUCAGCUACGAACCUUAGGUACUUCAAGCUUUUAAAGAAAAGGAAACUUCAUUCUCCUACAUAUGUACUUAUGUAUGCACAUGCUCAUUACGGAGAAUCACUAUUUUCAAACUUCCAAAUUGUGCGACCUAAUAAAUUCUAACAAAACAUCACGUUCCAUUCUCAAGACCGUCCUUAAGGAUCAAGAUAUUAAGGGGCUGAAAGAAAGAUGGUUUGUGUAUGACAUUCGAAGAGAACUUAUUUAUAAAAAAUACUUUUAUACUAACUAAUAUUAAAUAUGUUUCAUGUUACAAUAUUAGUAUUUUUAAUUUCUAAGCAUGGAUCAUAAGAAGUGCCAGUUGAAAGAUGUUACUAGAAUCCGUCCACAGACUUUAAAGGGAGUAAGUAAUCUACUCUAAUUAAAUUGAUAUGUGUGAUCUAACUAGUGCAGCAGGUUCAAGAUGCGUAUUGUUCUUGCUAGAAGCGUUCGCUACGCAUGUUGGUAGGUAUAGUCUAUGAUAGACACAAAACCCCUUAAUAGCUAAAAACGUGUUGAAUUUUACUCCAAAUUUUUUAAUUGUGGAGUUUGUAUUGUAAAAUUGUUAAUUCAUUUCAAGUAUAACUGUAUGAAAUUUGUGUUCUUUAUUUGAUUAAAUAUGUAUCAGAUACAUCAACACCCAAAACUGUAUUCAUUGUAGUGUUUUUACUUAAUUGAACGAAAUAUAGUAAAAUAAUUCCUUUGUUCAAAUCGGGUGUAGAUAGAUGUAAUAGAGUCCUCUAAUUUUGAAUUAAUUUCAGAGCUGCGUACACUUUCAGUUCAAAUAAAAUUCACAAUAAACGAAAUGGAUUUAU